rnacentral:lncRNA from 1 species
UAAAUUUCUCUAAUACAGUGUUAAAUUGUCUGUCUUCAAAAAUUAUCUUUACAAUUCAUAAAAAAAGAGGAAGACUUUUAAAUCUGUGCACAGUAGAUUUCCUUUAUUUUGUUCUUGAGAUAAAAGGUUGAACUCCAAUCAUAAAGCUGUAAACAAAGAAGAAACAAAUUUUGACACAUGUUUUCCACUGUAAAAAUUUAGAAUUCUAGGAGUUGGAAAACAAAUAGUCUUGCAUAAAGUUUUUUGGAGAUUAAUAAGGGGAGAUAAUUCAAGCCUUGAAAAACUUUAAUCUAACAAAUUUACUUUUACAAUACAUCUUCAAGUAUAUAAAAAAAGUAAGACUGAUAUUUUAAGAAACAAUCU